rnacentral:lncRNA from 1 species
CCCGAUCAGCCCCCCCUACCGAUUUCUCUGCUGCCGGCACUUCCUCCGCCUACGGUGUGACGGCCGGCGACGGUGCACUUCCUUCCUCCCCUUUUUCUUCUUUGCUUUCCUCUUUCUCGUGGGUGUUCUUUCUUCUUUUUUUUUGAAAAUUUUUUCUUUGCUUGCUUUCUCUUUUUCUUUUUGCUUUGGCCCUUAUUUCCUUUGCUAGGUGACGGCGAACGGCGGUGCUGGUGCGACGGCCGACGGUGGGCUUGUUGCUGCUAUUUUUGCUUCUUUUUUGCCUAAAAAAUUUGUGUUUUUUAAAAAAUUUGUGUUUUUUCUUUUUUUUUGGCUUCUUGCUUUGUUUGUUUGUGUAGGUGCGACGGUUUUGGUGGUGUCACGGUGGCGGUGUGACGACGGUGGGGUGGGCUUUUCGCUUGUUGCUGGUUUUUUUUUGAAUUUUCUCUGCUCUUUUUUCUUUGGUUGCCGAAAAUUGAGAACCCCCUUUUCCUCUCUUUCAAAUUUUCCUUUUAAUCUCUUGAUUUUUUGUCCUCCUUCUUCUUGUCUUCAGGUGGCAGUGGAGUAAUCAUGGCCUAGGGAGGCUGGUGGAGUAGCUGGAGGUGGGAGGAGCAUGCUCGGCUGCCAUUGGGUGAUUUGACAAGUCCAGAAGGAUUGAACUGUAGAGGGCGUAAAACUUCUGGGGCAAAAGUGAAAUUUUAGAAAAAUAUAGGGCCAAAAUGUAAUUUCUAGAAAUUUUAGGGGUCUGAAUGUAAUUUUGUAUUUUUUUGUAUUUUUCUGAUUUAUUAUUUAUUAAUAUUAUUAAAACAUAAAAAAAGGGCCAAAGCCCAAACAAGUCCAACAUAUUUAAAACACAAUUAACCAACCCUACAUGCCCAACCAUUGGGCCCAAUUAUUAGGCCCACAUGAGGCAAGCCCAAAAAGAUCAUAAUAAAUUUUUUAAAUUUUUUUUAAAUAUAUAUAGAAUAAAAUAAAAUAGAAUAAAUAAAUACACGAGGGAUGUACCGGAUAAAAUUCAGUGGUUACAGCUGUCCCUCUUUGCUCGUCGCUGUGAAACAGUGAUAGAGUAAAGAUUUAAAAGCACUGAAUUUUAUUCGAUUGUCCAAAAUUUUUUUUGUCUAUAUUUUUUGAAAGCCUAGAAUUGAAAAUAGUUUGGUGUGCGAUUCGAAGUUCAACUCACUUUUCAGGUUAUGAGUUGAUCUUUAAAAAAUAGAAAUUGAAAAAUACCUCGGUAUAUAGCCCACGGCUCAACUCACCUCUCGCAUUAUGAGUUGAAUGAUUUUUUUUAAGAAGAAAUUAAAAAUACCUCGGCAUGCAGCUCGAGGCUCAACUCACCUCUCGCAAUAUGAGUUAUUUUUUUGAAAAACAUAAAUUGAAAAAAGAAAAUCGGCGUGUGACUCGAGAGCCAACUCACCUCUAGCAAUAUGAGUUGAUUUUUGGAAAAUAGAAAUUAAAAUAUACCUCAGUAUGUGACCUGAGGCUCAACUCACUUCUCACAUUAUGAGUUUAUCUUUUUGAAAAACAGAAAUUGAAAAAUACCUCAGGAUGACCCGAGGCUCAACUCACUUCUCGCAAUAUUAGUUGAUUUUUUUGAAAAACAUAAAUUGAUAAUACCUUAGGAUGACCCGAGGCUCAACUCACUUCUCGCAUUAUGAGUUGAUUUUUUUUAAAAAAACAAAAAUUAAAAAUACCUCAGGAUGACCUGAGGUUCAACUCACCUCUCGCAUUAUGAGUUGAUUUUUUUGAAGAACAUAGAUUGAAAAUACCUCAGGAUGACCUGAGGCUCAACUCACUUCUCGCAUUAUGAGUUGAUUUUUUUGAAAAACAGAAAUUGAAAAUACCUCAGGAUGACCCGAGGCUUAACUUACUUUUCGCAAUAUGAGUUGAUUUUUUUUUAAAAACAUAAAUUGAAAAUACCUCAGGAUGACCCGAGGCUCAACUCACUUCUCGCAUUAUGAGUUGAUUUUUUUUGAAAAACAUAAAUUGAAAAUACCUCAGGAUGACCCGAGGCUCAACUCACUUCUCGUAUUAUAAGUUGAUUUUUUUGAAAAACAUAAAUUGAAAAUACCUCAGGAUGACCUGAGGUUCUACUCACCUCUCGCAUUAUGAGUUGAUUUUUUGAAAAACAGAAAAUGAAAAAUACCUCAGGAUCACCCGGGGCUUAACUUACGUCUCGCAAUAUGAGUUUAUUUUUGAAAAAAAAUAGAAAUUGAAAAAUACCUCGACGUGCGACCCGAGGCUCAACUCACCUCUCGCAAUAUGAGUUGAUUUUUUAAAAAACAACAAAUAAAAAAUUUGAAAAAUAAUUCUCGAAAGAAACAGGGUUUCAAAAAAACAUCAGGUAAAACUGAAAGCCUUUUUUUUUUACUGAUUCUGUGCAGCUUUCUCCCAAAAUUCCUGGCUCUGCUGGGAUACCUAUAUAUGUCAUGUAUGGUGUUAUCAUGAUAUGCACGUGUUUAUCCUAAAUGCCUUUAUGCCUACAUGAUCAUGCCAUGCGCCUUGGGCUGUUUGUCACAUGCCCCACUUUUGAUUUUCGUCAGGGUCCGCAUUCAUCUCCUCAAUUCUUGACUUUUCUCUCCAGUUUUGUACUCAUCCUCAAGUUCUGUGAGUAAUCCACAUCUUUGUAUACCACCUUCCUGCCCCCUUGUUGAACUUUGUUCUUGCUUCAGGGUCCUUGUAUUUAUCAAAUUCUCAUCUAGGUAAUGCUCAACAUUCCUUUUGUUUAGAGUAUGUCAUCUUACUAUUUAUCAUUUAAAUGAAUCAAACACGAGAUGCAUGAAAAAUGGUAAAGUAGGCAUGAAAGAAAGAUCUCACAUUCAUUUUUUUUCAAAAGCAACAAGCAAAAAAUUGACAAGGAAAGUUUAACAAAUGAAUCGUCAUAAAGAAAAAAAAGCGAAUUCAAUGGCCAGAAAUGCUCUAGAUAUCCAAUGCAUGAACUUCUCUACAUUUCUUCAUCCUGGAUCCUUUCGAGCACGGCUUCUUGUGUAGAAGAUUUCGAACUUCUGAGAAUGCUUCAAAUAUUGCGACUUCGUUAUUCAACUCCCCAUUCAAGUCACUUUGCUUUUUUAAGCCCGAGCCUACCUUAUUAGGACGCCCUUUUGGGUUUUCAUCCUAAUCCUUUUUGUUUAUCAAGACGCCCUUUUCGGGUUUUUAUCUUGAUUUUUUUGUUUGUUUUUGUUUUUUGUUUCUUUCUAUUUUUUGUUUUUUUUGUUGUUUUUAGGCAUAACAUUUCUUCACAACAUUUGAGUUCACUGGAUUAGGUAAUUCUUUCCCCUCAAUUUCAGUGAGAAUCAGAGCCCCUCUUGAGAAUGCCUUUUUUACAACGUAUGGCCCUUCCCAAUUUGGCACCCAUUUUCUUCGAAAGUCUUUUUGUAUGGGGAGGAUUUUUCUUAGUACCAGUUUUUCUUCGCGAAAUUCUCUUGGCCGCACCUUUUUAUCAUGGGCCACGAUCAUUCUUUUCUGGUACAACUGUCCGUGACAAAUUACCUUCAAGCGUUUCCCUUCAAUAAGAUUUAGCUGGUCGUAUCGAGCUCGAACCAACUCUGAUUCUUCUAGCUUUGACUCCAUCAAGACACGUAGGGAUGGGAUCUCCACUUCGAUGGGCAUAACAGCUUCCAUUCCAUAGACUAGGGAAAAAUGAGUUGUCCCCGUAAAUGUUCGCACAGAGGUGCUGUAUGUGUACAAAGCAAAUGGUAUCUUCUCAUGCUAGUCUUUAUAUGUCUCAGUUAUUUUCCCGAUAAUCCUCUUAAUGUUCUUAUUAGCCGCUUCUACUGCUCCAUUCAUCUUCGGGUGAUAGGGUGAAGAAUUAUGAUGCUUUAUCUGAAAUUGCUCACAUACUUCUUUCAUCAUCUUGUUGUUCAAAUUUAAAGCAUUAUCUGAAAUGAUUCUUUCAGGCAGACCGUAUCGACAUAUGAUCUCCUUUUUUAAGAACCUACAGACUGCAGUUUUCGUCACAUUAGCAAACGAAGUGGCUUCUACCCAUUUUGUGAAGUAGUUUAUAACCACAAAGAUGAAUCGAUGUCCAUUGGAAGCUUUCGGGGAAAUUGGCCCUAUUACAUCCAUGCCCCACAUAGAAAAAGGCCACGGAGAAGUCAUGACAUGAAGGGGCGAUGGAGCUGCAUAUUUGACACUUGUGGCAUUUUCGUGCGUAGCUAAUGCAAUCCCUUUCCAUCGUCAGCCAAAAAUAACCAAGUCUCAUAAUCUGCCUAGCCAUAGUAAACCCAUUGGCAUGCGUUCCACAAAUUCCUUCGUGGACAUCUUCAAGUAUUCUUCUGGCUUCAACAUUGUCCACGCAUCUCAGGAGCAUUUGAUCAUUUCCUCUUUUGUAUAGGAUAUCCCCGUCAAGAACAAAACUAGCCGCCAUUCUUCUGAUUGUUCUUUUGUCAUUCUCGUUUGCUUGCUCGGGAUACCUUUGAUUCUUAAUGUACUCCAAGAUGUCAUAAAACCACGGUCGUCCCUCUGACUCUUUCUCAAUGCUAAAACAGUGUGCGGGGGCCUCAUAUAUGCUCAUUUCGAGAGGCAUUAUUUCUGUUUCUCUAUUUGCUUUGAACAUUGAAGCCAAGGUGGCCAAGGCGUCAGCCAAUUGGUUUUCCUCUCGUAGGAAGUAUUGAAAAGUCACUUCUUUGAAUUCUUUGACAAAUUCUGCCACGAAAUCGCGAUACUUGACUAAUUUUGAAUCUUUCACUCCCCAAUCUCCGCGAAUUUGAUAAAUCACUAACGUUGAGUCCCCAAACACCUUUAAGAUUUCUAUUUUUCGUUCAAUAGCUGCACGAAGUCCCAUGAUGCAAGCUUCAUAUUCUGCUAUGUUAUUAGUACAGAAGAAAUUCAAUUUGGCAGUGAACGAGUAAUGAUUUCCUUCUGGUGACACUAAAACUACUCAUAUUCCGUGCCCCAAUGCGUUCGAUGCCCCAUCAAAGCUCAUCUUCCAUGACUUCUCUUUUGAUGACUCACCCACUUUUUUUGAAAUGCAUAUCAAAUCUUCAUCUGGGAAAUCAAAUAUCAAAGGCUCGUAUUCCUCCGUUGCUUGACUUGCCAAGAAGUCAGCUAUCGCGCUUCCAUUUAUCGAUUUUUGGCUCACAUACACGAUAUCAUACUCAGUCAGUAAGAUCUGCCAUCGUGUAUUCUUCCUGAGAGUGCAGAUGACUCCAUCAUGUACUUUAUUGGAUUCAGUUUUGAAAUUAACCAUGUCGUAUGAUACAACAUGUAUUGUCUGAGCCUUCGAACCAUCCAAAUCAAUGCACAACAAAAGUUUUCAAUACUCUGUGAACUUUUUGCUGAGGUAGUAAAUUGCCUUUUCUCUUUUCCCCGACUCAUUAUGUUGUCCCAGUACGCAACAUAUUGAGUUCUCAAACACGAUCAAGUACAAUAUUAAGGGUUUUCCAGGGGUCGGUGAUACUAGUACCGGAGGAUUAGAUAGAUACUAUUUUAUCUUGUCGAAGGCCACUUGGCACUCCUCGUUCCAUUCUCCUGGAUUAUGCUUUCGAAGGAGUCAAAAAAUUGGAUCACACUGGUUGGUAAGUUGAGAAAUGAAUCGAGCAAUGUAAUUCAACCUUCCUAAAAAUCCUCUGACUUUUUUCUGUGUGUGCGGGGGAGGCAGUUCUUGUAUAGCUUUUAUCUUUUCUGGAUCAACCUCAAUACCUCUCUCACUAACAAUAAAACCUAAUAGUUUUCCCGAGGUAGCCCCAAACGUACAUUUGGCUAGGUUAAGCUUCAACUGGAACUUUCUUAAUCUUUUGAACAGCUUCCUGAAGUUCCCAACAUGCUCUUCUUCUCACCGGGAUUUGGCAAUCAUAUCAUCGACAUAAACUUCUAUUUCUUUGUGCAUCAUGUCAUAGAACAACAUCAACAUGGCUCUCUGAUACGUUGCCCCUGCAUUAUUCAAUCUGAAUAGCAUCACUUUGUAACAGAAUGUUCCCUAUAUUGUCACAAAUGUGAUUUUCUCCAUAUCUUCAGGAGCCAACUUUAUCUGAUUAUAACCCGAGAAACCAUCCAUGAACGAAAAUAAAGAAUGUUUUGUCAUGUUAUCCAUCAAAAUGUUGAUGUGUGGUAAAGGAAAGUUAUCCUUAGGGCUUACUCGAUUCAGAUCACGAUAAUCUAUGCACAUUCGUACCUUGCUGUCUUUCUUCGAUACUGGGACUAUGUUUGCUACCCAUUCUGGACCUAUAAGAAGCCAGCAUCAUAUUGUUUCUUGACUUCUUCUUCUAUCUUUAGUAGCAUUUCAGGUAUCAUCCUUCUCAACUUCUGCUGAACGGGUUUGCAUUCUGGUUUCAGUGGGAGCUUAUGAACCACCACAUCCUCAUUCAGCCCUAGCAUGUGCUGAUACGACCAGGCAAAUAUAUCUUUAUACUCACAGAGUAAGACAGUCAAAUUUUGUUUGGUGUUCUCUGAAAUGGAAGUCCCAAUCUUCACUUCUUGUUUCUUUUCUUUAUUCCCCAAGUUCACUAUCUCAACAGAUUCUUGAUGGGGUAAAAUCUGUUUCUCUUCUUGUUCAACCAUUCUCAGUAAGUUAAGAGGCGGGUCACAAUUUUCAGCAUCUUCCUCAGCUUCGAAUUCUCCUAAACAAAAAGUCUUCUCGAAAUCGAUUUCAAGAUUUGUAACGGGAUUGUUCAUGCCAUGGAUAUCUGAGCACUUGAAAGGCGGAUAGAAAAGACUACUAUAGGGGAGCAUCAAAGUAUUGGAAUCAACAAACACAAUGUUAUGGAAUGAUAUGAGAUAUAUGUAAGGAAAGGCUGUGAGAAGAGGGAAUAAUUACAAAACUAAUGGAAAUGAAAAGACCAUGACAAAAUGCAUCUUCAUUAAUGUUCAUUGAAAUGAUAAAUAACAAACACAGGCUCUUACAAAAGGAAUCUCAUUACUUAGGGACAUACAAAAUAAUGGAGAAUUAACAUUGGACAUUACUCUGAAGAGGACUUAAAAACUACAAGGAGGUCCAUAGCAGUCCAAUUGUUCAAAACAUAUCCUGGGGACAAGGGCGUAUCAUUGAAACAUCCUCAAUUGUAUCACUCUCAUUGAAUUCAACAUCCAUAGCUCUAGCUCUUAAACGCAUUCUAUAAGAAUGGCGUGAUUCCAGACUUGGAGUGUCGCAACUAUAGAUUAUAUUGUUUUAGUCUCAAUGAAUGAUUAAGGUGAUAUGUACAUGCAAUGAAUGAAUGAAUGAAUGAAUGACCAAUGGAUGCUACUCAUGCGUAAAUAUACAAAAAUAGGUGUUGAUUCCAAAAUGGCCCCAUACUUGGGCGUUUCAUUUAUCAAAAGAGUCCGUUACAAAAAGUUUUGUCGAUGAAGAUGCCCCUACUGUUUGAGUAUCAUUGUUUCCAGAUCCUAGUCAAGUCUUCGAGGUUAUUCUGUCGAGCAUUCGAAGUCAUAUGCUCAGGAAGAUCGGAGAUAUAUCUUUAUUUUAAACUAUCCCCUUUUGCUUUUUGGGUCCUCAAAGACCAAUCUCAGACUAUAGCAUUUUUCUCGGUUACUUGUAUAAUUGACUCCUCUAUUAGAAACCCGUUUUUGGCAACCAAUCUCUAAUCAACACCUUCCUAAUAAAAUGCCUAUGAUGCAUGAUGAGAAAUAAAAUAAAGGCAAAUAAACUUAGUUAGCAAUCACGACAAAGAUAAACAAAGAAAAACUGUAAAAAACCUAACAAACUGACCUACUUUUUUUUACCCCACCAUGCUUUACAAAAUAAAAUUACCUCACAUGCUCAUCAAUUUACCCGACCCAAUUCAUUAAACGGACCUGAUUCUAUUGCAAAUAAAUGUAAAUGUAAAAGAAAUACAAGGUAAGAAGCGUUUCUCCCAUGUACUUAUUUUGGCGACUAUUCAUCAGACAGAGGUUCGGCAUGGCUCUAAUUGGGUGGCUUGUACGGUUCACUAUAUGUGGUUUUGGUUCUAGAGAGGUACUCGAAUUGUCCAUACUGUCACCUGCUAAGGUUAGUAUGGAGCCUCGGUUAUCACCCGUCAUGGGCUUGCGAGCUCAAUUCGAAGGAUUACAUUUACUUAUGCCUAUGCGGAGGGACGAGUUAACUCACGAAGGCAUAGUGUUUACUUUCACUUAAACGGACGGAGCCCGGGUAGAGAGCUCAUGUUAUGCAAGAAUGCAAGUGCACAGUGUGUGGGGAGAAACUCACAAACCUUUUUAUUUUUUAUUUACUAAAACAACAAACUAAAAAACGUAAAACUUAGAGCCGAACAGAAAAACAAAACACAUUAGAAAAAUAUUAAUUUAAAAACCGAAUGCAAAUGCAUGACUUUUCAAAACAAAAUUCAAGUAUCACGAUUAAAAAUUAAUUUGAAUAAGAAAAUUUGAAAAUUUUGACAACACGCGUUUAACAUUAGACUCGACUCUCAAAAAAAAUGUCCCCAGUGGAGUCGCCAGCUGUAGCGACCUAAAAAUUUAGGCACAGGCGCUAGUCGAAGUAAUUAUUGAAAACUUGAAAAUCGAAUCUCGAUUUUAUUUGAAAAGGAGUCGCCACCAAUCUUUUUUUUUUCUAGGUGUGAUCGGACACCUAGUAAAUUCUCUUUUUUAGAAAACUUUAUUUUUAAACUUUUCUAAAAAGAAGUAAUUUUAGGUUUACGUGAAAAUCCAGAGAAAAUUAGGGUUCGGGAGUCGGUUACGCGCGAAGAAGGUAUUAGCACCCUCGCGACGCCCAAAUUUGGUAUCUCAUUAAACGCGUGUUGUCUUAAUUUUCAAAAAUACAAAUUCAAUUUAAUAGUUAAUCGCGAUCUGAUCAAAACACGAGAAAUUUAUUUUAACACGAGAAUUUUGAAACAUGAAUUUUUUUAAAAAACACGAAAGUUUUUGAAACACGAGAAUUUUUAAAAACACGAAAAUUUUUGAAACACGAAAAUAAAAAAAACACGAAAAUCUUUAAAACACAACAUUUUUUGAAACACGAGAAUUUUAAAACAUAGAAAUUUUUAAAACACGAAAAUUUGUGAAACACUAGAGUCGUUGAAAACACGAAAAUUUGUGAAAACACGAAAAUUUUUGAAACACGGAAAUUUUUGAAAACACGAGAAUUUUCAAAAUACGAAUUUUUUUGAAAAUACGAAAAUUUUUAAAAACACGGAAAUUUUUAAAAUACAGGAAUUUUUGAAACAUUGGAAAAGUUUUUUUAAAACGUGAAAGUUUUGAAACACUGGAAUUUUGAAAACACGAAGAUUUUUGAAAACACAAAAAUUUUUUGAAACACGAGAAUUUUUUGAAAACAUGAUAAUUUAAAAAAAACGGAAAUUUUCUUUUUCUAUUUUACUAAAACACGAAUAUUUUCGAAACCACGGAAAGAUUUUUUUUGAACAAACUUUUCGAUUUUUUAUUAAGCACGUAUCGUAUUUAACACGAACCGGUGAUAUUUACUCAACAUAACAAUGAAAUCAAAGAAGGUUCUUUUUUUUUUCUUUCUUCUUCCUCUUUUCUUCUUUCCUUCUUCUUUCUUUUUUCUUCUUUUUUCUUCCUUUCUUUCUUCCCCGAUCAGCCCCCCUACCGAUUUCUCUGUUGCCGGCACUUCCUCCGCCUACGGUGUGAUGGCCGGCGACGGCGCACUUCCUUCCUCCCCUUUUUCUUCUUUGCUUUCCUCUUUCUCGUGGGUGUUCUUUCUUCUUUUUUUUGAAAAUUUUUUCUUUGCUUGCUUUCUCUUUUUCUUUUUGCUGUGGCCCUUAUUUCCUUUGCUAGGUGACGGCGAACGGCGGUGCUAGUGCGACGGCCGACGGUGGGCUUUUUGUUGCUGUUUUUGCUUCUUUUUUGCCUAAAAAAUUUGUGUGUUUUUUCUUUCUUUUUUUUGCUUCUUGCUUUGUUUGUUUGUGUAGAUGCGACGGUUGUGGUGGUGUCACGGUGGCGGUGUGACGACGGUGGGGUGGGCUUUUCGCUUGCUGCUGGUUUUUUUUUGAAUUUUCUCUGCUCUUUUUUCUUUGGUUGUCGAAAAUUGAGAACCCCCUUUUCCUCUCUUUCAAAUUUUUCUUUUAGGGUCUGUUUGAUUGACGGAAUUGAUUUUCCGGAAAAUCAUUUCCAACUUUUCCAGCGUUUGAUUGGCGGAAAACAUUUUCCAUUUGGAAAAUGAACUCCAAAACAAGGGAAAAUGGAUUACAUUUUAGGGAAAAUGUCUUACCCUUCCUUCAUUUCCGGUAGAAAACUGCUUCUAUUUAUCGAUUUUCCAGUAACUUGUUUUUUUAAUUAUUCAAUACUUGUUUUUUUAACACAAUUUCAAAUAAUUUAUUUGAUAUUAGUUUUUUUUUAAUUUAUAACGAUUAAUAUUGUAGCUUAAUAAUUGAGUAUUAUUAUAAAUAAAUCAUUGCAAUAUAUGUAAAAAUAAUUUAAAAUAUAAAAAUUUAUUAAUAUAUAUUAAUAUAUGUAAAAACAACUUUUCCGAAAAAUAUUUUCAAAAAAUCUGCCAAGCAGCAGAAAAUAUUUUACACAGAUUCAAUCAAACACCAGGAAAUAUUUUCCAGUAGAUCAUUUUACAGAAAAGUAAAAUAUUUUCUAGAAAUCAUUUUACGGAAAAUAUUUUACUGGCAAUCAAACAGACCAUUAAUCUCUUGAUUUUUUGUCCUCUUUCUUCUUGUCUUCAGGUGGCAGUGGAGCAAUAAUGGCCUAGGGAGGCUGGUGGAGUAGCUGGAGGUGGGAGGAGCAUGCUCGGCUGUCGAUUGGGUGAUUUGACAAGUCCAGAAGGACUGAACUGUAGAGGGCAUAAAACUUCUGAGGCAAAAGUGUAAUUUUAGAAAAAUAUAGGGCUAAAAUGUAAUUUUUAGAAAUUUUAUGGGUCUGAAUGUAAUUUAUAUUUUUUGUAUUUUUCUGAUUUAUUAUUUAUUAAUAUUAUUAAAACAUAAAAAAAGGCCAAAGCCCAAACAAGUCCAACAUAUUUAAAACACAAUUAACCAACCCUACAUGCCCAACCAUUGGGCCCAAUUAUUAGGCCCACAUGAGGCAAGCCCAAAAAGAUCAUAAUAAAUUUUUUAAAUUUUUUUUAAAUAUAUAUAGAAUAAAAUAAAAUAGAAUAAAUAAAUACACGAGGGAU